rnacentral:rRNA from 1 species
AUUGAACGCUGGCGGCAGGCCUAACACAUGCAAGUCGAGAGAGCGGCGGACGGGUGAGUAAUGCCUAGGAAUCUGCCUGGUAGUGGGGGAUAACGUCAGGAAACUGUCGAUAAUACCGCGUACCAUAGGAUGAGCCCAAGUGGGAGUAGGUAGUUGGUGGGGUAAUGGCCUACCAAGCCGACGAUCCAUAGCUGGUCUGAGAGGAUGACCAGCCACACCGGGACUGAGACACGGCCCGGACUCCUACGGGAGGCAGCAGUGGGGAAUAUUGCGCAAUGGGGGCAACCUGACGCAGCCAUGCCGCGUGAAUGAAGAAGGCCUUCGGGUUGUAAAGUUCUUUCGGUGACGAGGCGUUAAUCACAGAAGAAGCACCGGCUAACUCCGUGCCAGCCGCCGCGGUAAUUC